AUGAUGCAAAAUAAGUUGAAAGAUCCUAAGGUUGGAGGAAAUCGCGGAGUAGACUUUUAAAGUUACUCGGAACUGAUCUCCAACGCUCACCGAGGUAAAUGAAGGACUUUGAGGAUGAAGCUCAAUUAGGAAGCUUUUGUGUUUAAUUACUCGCUUGUCUGUAUUGCUAAGUGACGUUGUAGUUGAUUUAAUAGUAUUAUGGGAUGACUGUAAAUCCGUUUAGAUCA